AUUGAACGCUGGCGGCAUGCUUUACACAUGCAAGUCGAACGGCAGCGCGGGCUUCGGCCUGGCGGCGAGUGGCGAACGGGUGAGUAAUGCAUCGGAACGUGCCCAGUAGUGGGGGAUAGCCCGGCGAAAGCCGGAUUAAUACCGCAUACGACCUGAGGGUGAAAGCGGGGGACCGAAAGGCCUCGCGCUAUUGGAGCGGCCGAUGUCGGAUUAGCUAGUUGGUGGGGUAAAGGCUUACCAAGGCGACGAUCCGUAGCUGGUCUGAGAGGACGACCAGCCACACUGGGACUGAGACACGGCCCAGACUCCUACGGGAGGCAGCAGUGGGGAAUUUUGGACAAUGGGGGCAACCCUGAUCCAGCCAUGCCGCGUGCGGGAAGAAGGCCUUCGGGUUGUAAACCGCUUUUGUUCGGGAAGAACUCCUCUGGGCUAAUACCCCGGGGGGAUGACGGUACCGGAAGAAUAAGCACCGGCUAACUACGUG
rnacentral:rRNA from 1 species